ensembl:lncRNA
GAAUACGACAGCUGAAUCCCUUGUUCUCAGAGACACUUGAAAGAAAGGAAACUGGGAUGGAUAAGAUAGAUAGAUGACAGAUUUCAGAUAUUGGGCUUUGUUAGUCCUUCCGUGAAGCCUGGGAUAGAAUAAACUAAGAUUGUUACUUGUCUUAAGUUAUACAUCUGGAGUCAUCCAUCUACUGAAAAUACAUUUCUCCAGUUAAUUGUGCUCAUGACUUUGGCCUGAGUUGACUCAGAUUCCACCUGGGGAAAGUAUCAAAGGCAAUGAUGGAAAAACUGUAGAGGAGGGGCUGACCUCUGCUAGCUGCCACCUUUUCUGAUCCAACACUACACAUGAGAUGCAAACAUCAUUAGAGACAAAUUCUGGUCUGAGAAUCAACCUCCUUAUUCUCUGAUUGGGAAAACGGAGCCUCUCUGAGGUUUAAUUGAACUGAUGAAAGCUGGAGCUGCACCCAGACCUUCUGGCUCCUUGUCUGGGUCCAUCCUUGAGGAGCACUACCCUGGCACUCCUAUGUCUCCACCUUCUUUGAUGACUUCUCUUCCUCAUCAGGAAUGGGCAUUCCCCAAUAUUCCAUCUUUGACGCUCCUUCAUCCUCUAUAAAAUCCAAGCCUAUCCUUUCUUAUAACUUUAGCUACCACCACUUCUAAGCCCAAAUCUUUAUUACCAGUUCUUCCAAGUCCCAAACUCAUUUUGUUUAACCUCAUGCUGAACGUUUCCAACUGUGUGUAUCACCGUUUCUUCAAACACAACGUGACUAAAGCAGAAUUCAUAUCAUAAGUAAGAGCCCUCCCCAUGAACUCUCCUUUUCCACACCAGCUGUCUUCUUUUUCCUCCCAGUGUCUACAUCUCUGUUAUUGGUACCACCAUCCUUGAAAGAACAAUUUCUAGAAUCAAGCCCUUAUUCCUCCAGUGACAUGGACAAGGGAACCAGCAGAAAUAAUAAAUACCACUCAGUCAAGAUAUCAAUACACUCUGCUUCUCCCUGUUGUACUGCCCUGCCCUUACUGUCUGUAAGAAAUAAAAAGUACGGGGAGGGAUAAAUUAGGGAUUUAGGACUAACAGAUACACACUAAUAUAUAAAAAAUAGAUAACCAACAAGGACCUAGUAUAUACACAGGGAACUAUACUCAAUAUUCUGUAAUAACCUAUAAAAGAAAAGAAUCUGAAAACAAAUAGAUAUAUGU